rnacentral:misc_RNA from 1 species
GAUGAAGAACGCAGCGAAAUGCGAUAAGUAAUGUGAAUUGCAGAAUUCAGUGAAUCAUCGAAUCUUUGAACGCACAUUGCGCCCGGUAGUAUUCUGCCGGGCAUGCCUGUUCGAGCGUCAUUUCAACCAUCAAGCCCCAGCGCUUGUGUUGGGGGCCUGCGGCUGCCGCAGCCCCCUAAAAGCAGUGGCGGGCUCGCUAUCACACCGAGUGCAGUAGUUCAUCUUCUCUCCGGUCUUGUGAGGCGGGUUCCGGCCGUGAAACACCCCACUACAUUCAAGGUUGACCUCGGAUCAGGUAGGAAUACCAGCUGAACUUAAGCAUAUCAAUAAGCGGAGGA